rnacentral:rRNA from 1 species
UUGAUCAUGGCUCAGAGUGAACGCUGGCUGGUAGGCCUAAUACAUGCAAGUCGAGCGAAUGAUUAGAGCUUGCUCUUAUGAAGUUAGCGGCGGACGGGUGAGUAACACGUGGGUAACCUGCCCAUAAGACUGGGAUAACUCCGGGAAACCGGGGCUAAUACCGGAUAACAUUUUGAACUGCAUGGUUCGAAAUUGAAAGGCGGCUUCGGCUGUCACUUAUGGAUGGACCCGCGUCGCAUUAGCUAGUUGGUGAGGUAACGGCUCACCAAGGCAACGAUGCGUAGCCGACCUGAGAGUGGUGAUCGGCCACACUGGGACUGAGACACGGCCCAGACUCCUACGGGAGGCAGCAGUAGGGAAUCUUCCGCAAUGGACGAAAGUCUGACGGAGCAACGCCGCGUGAGUGAUGAAGGCUUUCGGGUCGUAAAACUCUGUUGUUAGGGAAGAACAAGUGCUAGUUGAAUAAGCUGGCACCUUGACGGUACCUAAACCAGAAAAGCCACGGCUAACUACGUGGCCAGCAGACGCGGUUAAUAACAGAGGGUGCGAGCGUCCAAUCGGGAUUUACUGGGCGGUUAAAGCGUGCGUAAGGCGGCUUUUUAAGUUCCGGAUGUUGAAAUCCCCGAAGC